rnacentral:rRNA from 1 species
CCUACGGGUGGCAGCAGUGAGGAAUAUUGGUCAAUGGACGAGAGUCUGAACCAGCCAAGUAGCGUGAAGGAUGACUGCCCUAUGGGUUGUAAACUUCUUUUAUAAAGGAAUAAAACGAGGCACGUGUGCCUUUUUGCAUGUACUUUAUGAAUAAGGAUCGGCUAACUCCGUGCCAGCAGCCGCGGUAAUACGGUGGGUCCGAGCGUUAUCUGGAUUUAUUGGGGUUAAAGGGAGCGCAGAUGGGUUGUUAAGUCAGUUGUGAAAGUUUGGGGCUCAACCGUAAAAUUGCAAUUGAUACGGGCAGUCUUGAGUACUGUAGAGGUGGGUGGAAUUCGUGGUGUAGCGGUGAAAUGCGUAGAUAUCACGAAGAAUACCGAUUGCGAAGGCAGCUUACUGAACAACCACUGACAUUGAUGCUCGAAAGUGUGGGUAUCAAACAGGAUGAGAUACCCGGGUAGUC